rnacentral:rRNA from 1 species
CCCUUAGAUGUUCUGGGCCGCACGCGUGCUACACUGAGUGGAUCAGCGGGUCAGGUUGCGCGAAAGCGUUUCCUAAUCUUUAAAUCCGCUCGUGAUGGGGAUUGACGGUUGCAAUUUUCUGUCAUGAACGAGGAAUACCUUGUAAGCGCGGGUCGCCAUCCCGCGCUGAAUACGUCCCUGCCCUUUGUACACACCGCCCGUCGCUCCUACCGAUUGAACGUGCUGGUGAAGCGUUAGGACUGGCUCUCGGGGCAGGUCUCCUGCCCCUUGAAUCGGGAAUUUCGUUGAACCCUCCCGUUUAGAGGAAGGAGAAGUCGUAACA